rnacentral:rRNA from 1 species
CCUACGGGUGGCAGCAGUGGGGAAUAUUGGACAAUGUGGGCAACCCUGAUCCAGCCAUGCCGCGUGUGUGAAGAAGGCCCUCGGGUUGUAAAGCACUUUCAGUGAGGAAGAACGCCUGGUGGUUAAUACCCAUCAGGAAAGACAUCACUCACAGAAGAAGCACCGGCUAACUCCGUGCCAGCAGCCGCGGUAAUACGGAGGGUGCGAGCGUUAAUCGGAAUUACUGGGCGUAAAGCGCGCGUAGGUGGCUUGAUAAGCCGGUAGUGAAAGCCCCGGGCUCAACCUGGGAACGGCAUCCGGAACUGUCAAGCUAGAGUGCAGGAGAGGAAGGUAGAAUUCCCGGUGUAGCGGUGAAAUGCGUAGAGAUCGGGAGGAAUACCAGUGGCGAAGGCGGCCUUCUGGACUGACACUGACACUGAGGUGCGAAAGCGUGGGUAGCAAACAGGAUUAGAUACCCCGGUAGUC